GAUGAACGCUGGCGGCGUGCCUAAUACAUGCCAGUCGAGCGAACAGACGAGGAGCUUGCUCCUCUGACGUUAGCGGCGGACGGGUGAGUAACACGUGGAUAACCUACCUAUAAGACUGGGAUAACUUCGGGAAACCGGAGCUAAUACCGGAUAAUAUAUUGAACCGCAUGGUUCAAUAGUGAAAGACGGUUUUGCUGUCACUUAUAGAUGGAUCCGUGCCGCAUUAGCUAGUUGGUAAGGUAACGGCUUACCAAGGCGACGAUGCGUAGCCGACCUGAGAGGGUGAUCGGCCACACUGGAACUGAGACCCGGUCAAGACUCCUAAGGGAGGCAGCAGUAGGGAAUCGUCCGCAAUGGGCGAAAGCCUGACGGAGCAACGCCGCGUGAGUGAUGAAGGUCUUCGGAUCGUAAAACUCUGUUAUGAGGGAAGAACAAAUGUGUAAGUAACUAUGCACGUCUUGACGGUACCUAAUCAGAAAGCCACGGCUAACUACGUG
rnacentral:rRNA from 1 species